AUGUAGAUUGUUGACCAAACUGUGAGUGCCAAGGCUGCAAACAAGUAUGUCCACAGGAAGAGGACUGAGCACUCCUCUUGCCCCACAUUAAACAGUUCAGUCAUGGUACCUACACCAUCAAUGAUCCUUGUCAAUUUAGUCUUUAAGCAAAAGGGUUUACUAUCUGACUGUCUUGUUGAGCUCGGAAACCUGUACAGUGAUUAGUUACUUACCGAUAUUCAUGGCAGGUGGCAGUGUAAACUGAAUCAUUAGCACAUAGAGGUACAAGGGGUCUGACAAGACGAAGCCAAGGUUGCUAGCUGCUUUGACGACUGCAAUUCCAAUUAGGGGAAGUAUGAAAUACCUCACACAAAUCACCGCGAUGAUGAUUGAUGGUUUUAUCCCUGAUGAGC
rnacentral:lncRNA from 1 species